rnacentral:tRNA from 1 species
CUCGGUGUAGCGCAGCUGGUAGCGCACGUGCUUUGGGAGCAUGGGGUCGGGAGUUCGAGCCUCUCCAUCGAGACCA